GGAUGAGAAGCUUGCUACUAUUGUUGGUCAACAAUCUAAGGCAGUUGAUGACUGUGAUGAUCCAGAUUGCAAGGACGAAUUCGUUCCUUUGAGAGGUGAGAAGGUCGAUGCUGCUGUUGGUCAACAAGCUAAGGCAGUUGAUGACUGUGAUGAUCCAAAUGACAAGAUCAUGAGGCCCACGAGUGUGGAGAAUGGGCAAGAAAGGCGUCCAGGCUUUCUUUAUAAACAAGGAGCAAGAAUGUCUACAGGAGGUAAUCUAGGCUUUCGUUAUAAACGCGGAGCAAGAAUGGCUGCAGGUUAUAA